GGGGCAGGGGCAGGUGGCCUGGAGGCCUGCCCUCGCAGCUGAGGAUGCUCCCGCGCUGGCAGGAGGCGCUCGGAGAUGCCAAGUAAUGCUAUUACCGUCCUAAUUAUAAUUAGAACCUACAAGUUGAGUCUUGAAAGGCAUUUAUAGCACAUCCUUACUUGUUUAGGUCAGCUUCCCAGAAAGAGGGGGAAAAAAUAGACUUGGGCAUUUUUAAUUUAGACAAGAAACAGGUCCAUGUGUCCAGGCUGCUAUCUGGGGCUCCCCUAUUUUAAGGAUGUCCUGUGGGGCUCAGGUAGUCACCGUGGUGGCUGGGGCCUGAAAGCGCCACGUGGACGGAAACAGGCCUGUGUGCAGCCCCGGAGGCCAGUCGGAAGCUUCCAGCCGCCGUGAGGUAACGGGCCGGGCAGCAGGGGGGUGACCAGCCGUGUGGCCUGGGAAGCGACUCUGGGCAGAGCAGGAGGGCAGUAUGCCGACUACCCAGGGGCGCCCCGAGGCCCUCGGGGACUCAGGGCUGCUUGUGUGGGUUCAGGAUCCCCCGGACGGGCUGACCCUCUCGCCUCCACCCCUCGAGGCCGGAGGACCACGGCCACCUGCUCACCCAGCGGGUGAAGUGGCGAAGUCUACGAGGACAGGUUUGGGGGUGGGGGAGGAGACCUCUGCCUCUGGAUCUCAGGCACCCGCGCUGCUCCUGUCACAGUCCCCGGCAAGUGAGCCAUCCCGAUUGGUGGAGCCACUGAAACCAGAGCUGCGUAGACACCGUGGAGAGUCCUGCUGCAUGUGGCGCAGCCGGGUCUGCAGGCCUCGUGAGGACAGAAGACAAGUCCUGCAAAACAGCUUAUGAAAAACCGGUCAAAACCCUGUCUUCGGAGCUGGCCAGGAGAACGAUGGUGCACAGGGAACUGCAAAACCGUCUCAGCUGCCGGGAUAUCGCAGGCUACCUGGGCUUCCGGGGGUGAUGCUUUUCUCGAACAUUCAAGCAGAGUGGCAGAGUGGUGGAAGCCUCCAUGCUCCUUCCCGCAAUGUCUCUGGGGCCUCUCAAGGACUGCUUUGUUCACGCUGCCUUGUCUCGUGCUGGGCACGGCUCUGAUUCCCUUUUGAGACCAGGAAUCUACAUAUGGUGGCAUCCCAGAGCCCCUAGAUGGCAAGGGGUGGUGGUAAGAGAAGAGCCUUCGAGUCAGGAAAACUGUGUUGUCAAAGAAGGUUGACCAGAAAAACGGGUCCGUGUCUGACAUUCGUCCUCCUUCAAGUCAUUAAGUAACAGAAUCCGAUCAGCCUCGGUAAUGAAGCUGAACUUCUGGUUCGCAGGUGGGAUCCUCGGGGGCCGGCCCACCAGCCGUGAAGGGAGAAAACCCGCUUGAAUGUGGAGGGACUCACGCAGCCGAGGGUCACCGGCCGGGGGAGCCCGCAAGUCCUGUGCUGUCCUUGCUGAGGGCUCGGCUCCGGCGGCGCGGGCCCCCGUCCCUCCUCUGACCCAGCCGAGAGCACAGAUUCCUUAACAGCUCUCUGCUGGUUCUUGCUCAUAACCAAGCCACAAAGAGACGGUCACCCGGGCAGCCCCGGUGGCCCAGAGGUUUAGCGCUGCCUUCAGCCCAGGGUGUGACCCUGGAGACCCGGAUCGAGUCCCACGUCGGGCUCCCUGCAUGGGGCCUGCUUCUCCCUCUGCCUGUGACUCUGCCUCUCUCCCUCUGUGUCUCUCAUAAAUAAACAAAAUCUUUAAAAAAAAGAGAGAGAGAGAUGGUCACCAGCGGAGAAGCCGGAAGGGAGCCAGAACCUAGGGGCCCGGCAGGGGGAAGCAAGGCCCAGUCUUGGGUAAGUGACAUUUGAGCGCGGUCACUUCAUGCAUGGGGUCUUUGACUUGGGCCAAACAAAACACACACUAAGGCUCUGGGCUCCAGAAAGCAACCGACACUGCGACAAAACCAAUGCUGUCACACCAUCGCUGGCCUUCCUUUGCGGAGCGGUCGGUGCAGAGGGUGUCGGGGCCAAGC